UAGGGAAUAUUGCGCAAUGGACGAAAGUCUGACGCAGCUAUGCCGCGUGUGUGAUGAAGGCCUUCGGGUUGUAAAGCACUGUCGGGAGGGACGAUAAUGACGGUACCUCGCAAGAAAGCGCCGGCUAACUCCGUGCCAGCAGCCGCGGUAAUACGGAGGGCGCAAGCGUUGCUCGGAAUCACUGGGCGUAAAGCGAACGCAGGCGGAUUUUUAAGUCGGAUGUGAAAGCCCCGGGCUCAACCCGGGAAUUGCAUUCGAAACUGAAAGUCUUGAGUCCGAGAGAGGGUGGUGGAAUUCCUGGUGUAGAGGUGAAAUUCGUUGAUAUCAGGAGGAACAUCGGCGGCGAAGGCGGCCACCUGGCUCGGUACUGACGCUCAUGUUCGAAAGCGUGGGGAGCAAACAGGAUUAGAUACCCCCGUAGUCC
rnacentral:rRNA from 1 species